UAAAGGCAUGUACAUAUGAGAAUAGUAGUAAUUAGUCCAAGACCAAAAUUCAAAUACACAAUGGAUUUUGGGAUACAGAUUUUCAGCUUCCUGCUAAUCAGUCUCACAGUCACAGUGUCCAGUGGAGAAAUUGUGCUCACCCAGUCUCCAGCAAUUAUGGCUGCCUCUCCAGGGGAGAAGGUCACCAUCACUUGCAGUGCCAGCUCAAGUGUAAGUUACAUGCACUGGUACCAGCAGAAAUCAGGCGCCUCCCCCAAACUGUGGAUUUAUGAGACAUCCAAGCUAGCUUCUGGAGUCCCAACUCGCUUCAGUGGCAGUGGGUCUGGGACCUCUUAUUCUCUCACAAUCAGCACCAUGGAGACUGAAGAUGCUGCCACUUAUUACUGCCAGCAGUGGACAAGUAACCCACCCACACAGUGA